rnacentral:tRNA from 1 species
GCAGUCAUGGGGUAGUGGUAACCUGGGUCGUUGCCAUCGACCCGCCCCGAGUUCGAUUCUCGGUGGCUGCA